rnacentral:rRNA from 1 species
UACAGAGGGGGCAAGCGUUGUUCGGAAUUACUGGGCGUAAAGGGCGCGUAGGCGGCCUUCUAAGUCGAACGUGAAAUCCCUGGGCUCAACCCAGGAACUGCGUCCGAUACUGGGAGGCUUGAAUCCGGGAGAGGGAUGUGGAAUUCCAGGUGUAGCGGUGAAAUGCGUAGAUAUCUGGAGGAACACCGGUGGCGAAGGCGGCAUCCUGGACCGGUAUUGACGCUGAUGCGCGAAAGCCAGGGGAGCAAACGGA